CUUUUAGUUUAUUUUAUUAAAAUUUUUCAGCAUAAUCAGCAAUAUGAUACCUUACUUCCUGUCGCCCACUGCAUGCAUAAAUUAAAAGUUGGAAUUGCCUAUUGACUAGACUAUGGAACUGGAUGGACAACAUGUUGGUUAUAUUGCUUUUGAACUAUGCAAGUAUUUGCACCCACUUUUGCACCCAUGUUGUGGAUGUCUAUUGUCUAUGUUCAGUGUAUCAAGUAUUGGGUUGACUUUUUUAAAAUAGGAUUUUAUCCAAGGGUGGAUUUUUUAUUUUUUUAAAGGAGGGGUGGAAACAUUUCUAGUGGGGUGCAAGCAGCACCACUGAGUGAGCUUUUUACAGGGGUUAGGCAUUAGGGUUAAAGACUUCUAACUCUAAGGUUGGUGGGGUUAAUUAAACACUUUAUAAGAGGGGUUAGAGAGAUUCUAAGGGGGGUUAACCCCUCCUAACCCCCCAGUGAAUCCGCCCAUGAGUUUAUCCAAAACUUUUCAUAACGACACCUGGUGAGUGGAGUCAUAACGACACCUGGUGAGUGGAUACUCAAGUGGUAGGAAAAAGCAUGAGUGUAUGUUGACAGAUGUUAUUUAUAUAAUAAAUAGCAACUAGCUAUGUUUAGCAAGUUAUUAGUGCAUUUAUUUCAAUUGGCU